rnacentral:rRNA from 1 species
UGGGGAAUUUUGGACAAUGGGCGCAAGCCUGAUCCAGCAAUGCCGCGUGCAGGAUGAAGGCCUUCGGGUUGUAAACUGCUUUUGUACGGAACGAAACGGUUCUUUUUAAUAAAGGGGACUAAUGACGGUACCGUAAGAAUAAGCACCGGCUAACUACGUGCCAGCAGCCGCGGUAAUACGUAGGGUGCGAGCGUUAAUCGGAAUUACUGGGCGUAAAGCGUGCGCAGGCGGUUUUGUAAGACAGGUGUGAAAACCCCGGGCUCAACCUGGGAACUGCAUUUGUGACUGCAAGACUAGAGUACGGUAGAGGGGGAUGGAAUUCCGCGUGUAGCAGUGAAAUGCGUAGAUAUGCGGAGGAACACCGAUGGCGAAGGCAAUCCCCUGGACCUGUACUGACGCUCAUGCACGAAAGCGUGGGGAGCAAACAGGAUUAGAUACCCUGGUAGUCCACGCCCUAAACGAUGUCAACUGGUUGUUGGGUCUUUACUGACUCAGUAACGAAGCUAACGCGUGAAGUUGACCGCCUGCGGAGUACGGCCGCAAGGUUG